AAACCCUAGCCGCCACAAUCGCGCACUCGAGCUGCCCAUUUGCGUCGCUCUGCCCCCGCCCCCGCCCCCGUCUCCGUGCCCUCGCCCCGCUUGCGGCCGAUGGCCUCCAGAGUCACUCUCCCUUCGAUGUUCUUGCGCCGCCCUUCUCUCCCCUACUUGCCUAGCUACCUCUCCAGCGCGAGCCACCCAGCGGUAACAGGGUUGAGCACAUGCUGGGAAGCGGAGCGCUAACGCCGGCCAAGCACUCCCUCUCGGCACCCUUGCCUGCGCGUCCCUUCAAUCGCCGGCUUAGUCCAGACCAAGAAACGGGGAGAGGGUGUGGACAGUGCGGCGGUUCCCUUGCCGGCGGCGUGUGGUGGUGGAGUGGUGAUGACGCUGGAGCCAGUGAAAUCUUGCUGCAUUCCUCGGUAAUCAGGUUCUGCGAGCGCCGCCAAUGGUUCCAUGGCGAGGAAGAUGAUGCUCGAGGACAGGCAGGUGGCCAGCGCCGAUCGAGGCGAGAGCUACGGCUAAAAUAUGUUUGUCAUUGGAGCUUCCUCCUCAACUCCUCAAAUGGUACUUAAUUUCAGCGCACGAUUACCUGACAUGCAGUCAAUCAUAAAGGGGACAUGCCCUCUGUCACCUGUAGGUUGCUUGUUCAUAAGCAGUCAAUCAGAUAAGAAUACACUGCCGAAAAUCUUCCCAGCAAUUUGAUGUUUUUAUGCAUUCAGAGUUAUCUACCUGUCUAUUGACCUAGGUGUGUGAUACUUGGCUGCAAUCACCAAGAAGAUACUGGCCUACGAGACAUCGUUCUAGGGGAAUUUGAUGCAAGUGGUCUUAGUGUCUUAUGCAAGGGAGCUAAUACUAAUCAGGCUAUGUUGGCAUGCUAUGUUGGUGUGGCUGAAAAUUUGGUUGUUUCAUACCCGAGUAUCAAGAAGUAAGUUCCUAAUGCAGGGCCCUGUAUCCUAUGGUCUAAUAAUGUAUAAUCAUCAUAUGCAGCUCAGGGGAAAUCAUGAUCCUCCAUUUACGACUAAUGAAACAUUUUUGUCUAAUGAAGAAUUAACAAUUACGGAUGGUCCGUCUAUGCCUAUGGUAGAUUCUAUUGAAGUUUAUGGUGGAGCUGAAAAUGUGUUCGUGUGGAAAGAGAAAAUGAAUGCUGUGCUUCAUAUGGCCUGUGACAUGGGUAGUCAUGCUGGCGCAAAAUCAUUGAAGAGACCCCAAACAAUGCAAAUUGGCUGCUACUAACACGGUUGUUGCAUACAAGGAACUUACAAUCUAAAAGCUUUGUUGGAAACCAUCUUUCAAAGUGAUAGGGAGACUCUUCUACAUUUUGGUGCAUGCAGUGCCCUUCAGGUUGUGUUUCUAAAGGACAUAUACCAUCAUAUAAAUUCAAGUAUCUUUGUGCAGUACUUGUAAUAUUCAUGGUCUGACAUUCCAUGUUUUGCUGCCAUUACUCUUUUAAUUUAUUCUUAAUCAUUGCACAGGAUAAAGACAAUAUACGCCUUCUAUGAGUAAUAAAGUAUGGUGCUGCAUCUAGCUGGUUGAUCAAAGAAUUUACUAUCCAGAUCCAUAAUGUCUAAAUUUGCUUUGCGCAUGAAAUUAAACUUGGCCUCUUUUCUUGAUAAUCAUGAUAAGAAUUUCGCUUAUUGUACCUUUGUAUGCGUGUUUUAGAAUUUUAGUAUGCUCAUUACUUUGCUGCUUUGACUAAGAGGACUAUGUUUGAUUAAGUUGAUAUGAUUUAAGAGUUUUUUGAAUGAUCAUGUUCUAAUCCCCCUUAGUAUAGCGUGGGAAGACCUUUUAGUAUACUAUCAAUUUAAUAGGCAUAUAAGCCGUGAAUUCCUCAGUUUAUGUGUUCUCCAGAUCAUUCUAAGAACAUGUGUUCAAUAAUUUUUUCCUGCAAUUCCUACUGUAGAGAAACCCAAAAGCCACUUUCAUAAGCAUAUUGCAGACCAAAUGAUGACUUCCAUUGAACUCAAUCUUCGAGCUUCUCAUACAUAACAAGUUGUGGUUUUCGUACACAUGCUAAGUUUGUACAUGACAAUAGUAUGUUAUUAUUAAUUGUUGUACGAGUAAGAUCUUAGAUGGAAAAAAUCUGUGCUUUAAGUCCUGUAAAUCUUUCUUCAUACAUUGCCAAGAGUGUGUUUGUAUUGAUCAUAUGGUUUUUCAAGAAAUUUCUACAGCUCUUGGCUCUUGCAAUCUGUUCAAUGCAGGUUUUAAGUAUCUUUGGCUAGAGGUCACUUUUGCAUGAUUUGAUCUUUGUUAGAGAAGGUGAUUGUUCCCUCAGCUUCAAUGUGUUAUAUUGAUACAUGCAUGAUGCCCAUUCCCAAGCUUGUGGUCAGCACAGAUCCAAAUUAGGCCAUGAUUAGGAUGAGAUUGUGCUUUCUUUGUCUCUAGAUAUGGUUUAUGAUUUUGAUGUUGUUUCUUGGGUCAUGGUCUGAAAUAAAUUCUGGUUCAGUUCUCCAUCUUUUGCAUUGUGGUAAGAUAGGAAAAGUACAAAUAAUUUUUGAGAUCUCAAUCAGGAUUUUUGUUUUUGGUCUCUUUGGUACAAUAGAAUAGGUACAAACAGGUUUUCGACUAAGGUUUUCUUUUGGUUUUUGUGGAAAUUUCAGGUUUCUUCAUAGAAUUAUAUUCUAUUCCUACCUAGCAUACACUGACUAUGGCUCAUGCUGGAAUACAAGAUUAGUCACUCGCCUAAGCAGGCUGAGGGUGCCUUGGAGGAGAUGCUCCUGUGAAGGGUGCGAUUCCAUCUGGUGGCAAUCUGAGCAGAUAUUGAAGCGCAUCUGAUUUUUGUUUACUGCCUUUUUUCACACUAUAAGUAAUUAAAUGUAGUAGUAGUAGUUAAUUGGUAGAGCUGUGAUAGCUUUAGACUUUUUUCACACUACAAAUCUGUUGCUAACAGAACGAUUGUAUUGAUUUGUUCUUAUUCUUUGUGUUGUCACUAUUAUGUAAGAAAAACAUGACUCAAACCAUAUAAAAUCAUCAGGUGAACAAUCCUUUAA